GAUGAACGCUGGCGGCGUGCCUAAUACAUGCAAGUCGAGCGAACAGACGAGGAGCUUGCUCCUUCGACGUUAGCGGCGGACGGGUGAGUAACACGUAGGUAACCUACCUAUAAGACUGGGAUAACUUCGGGAAACCGGAGCUAAUACCGGAUAAUAUUUCGAACCGCAUGGUUCGAUAGUGAAAGAUGGCUUUGCUAUCACUUAUAGAUGGACCUGCGCCGUAUUAGCUAGUUGGUAAGGUAACGGCUUACCAAGGCAACUAUACGUAGCCGACCUGAGAGGGGGAUCGGCCACACUGGAACUGAGACACGGUCCAGACUCCUACGGGAGGCAGCAGUAGGGAAUCUUCCGCAAUGGGCGAAAGCCUGACGGAGCAACGCCGCGUGAGUGACGAAGGUCUUCGGAUCGUAAAACUCUGUUAUUAGGGAAGAUCAAACGUGUAAGUAACUGUGCACGUCUUGACGGUACCUAAUCAGAAAGCCACGGCUAACUACGUG
rnacentral:rRNA from 1 species